rnacentral:rRNA from 1 species
AGUGAACGCUGGCGGUAGGCCUAACACAUGCAAGUCGAACGGCAGCACAGUAAGAGCUUGCUCUUACGGGUGGCGAGUGGCGGACGGGUGAGGAAUACAUCGGAAUCUACUUUUUCGUGGGGGAUAACGUAGGGAAACUUACGCUAAUACCGCAUACGACCUACGGGUGAAAGCAGGGGAUCUUCGGACCUUGCGCGAUUGAAUGAGCCGAUGUCGGAUUAGCUAGUUGGCGGGGUAAAGGCCCACCAAGGCGACGAUCCGUAGCUGGUCUGAGAGGAUGAUCAGCCACACUGGAACUGAGACACGGUCCAGACUCCUACGGGAGGCAGCAGUGGGGAAUAUGGACAAUGGGCGCAAGCCUGAUCCAGCCAUACCGCGUGGGUGAAGAAGGCCUUCGGGUUGUAAAGCCCUUUUGUUGGGAAAGAAAAGCAGCAGGUUAAUACCCCGCUGUUCUGACGGUACCCAAAGAAUAAGCACCGGCUAACUUCGUG